CCUACGGGAGGCAGCAGUAGGGAAUAUUGCUCAAUGGGGGAAACCCUGAAGCAGCAACGCCGCGUGGAGGAUGAAGGUUUUAGGAUUGUAACCUCCUUUUGUUAGAGAAGAUUAUGACGGUAUCUAACGAAUAAGCACCGGCUACCUCCGUGCCAGCAGCCGCGGUAAUACGGAGGUUGCAAUCGUGACUCGGAAUCACUGGGCGUAAAGAGUGCGUAGGCGGGGUAAUAAGUCAGAUGUGAAAUCCUGUGGCUUAACUACAGAACUGCAUUUGAAACUGGUACUCUGGAGUGUUGGAGAGGUAGGUGGAAUUCUUGGUGUAGGAGUAAAAUCCGUAGAGAUCAAGAGGAAUACUCAUUGCGAAGGCGACCUGCUGGAACAUUACUGACGCUGAUGCACGAAAGCGUGGGGAGCAAACAGGAUUAGAUACCCUAGUAGUC
rnacentral:rRNA from 1 species